UCUUCUGAGCACUGAGCAUCACUGCUGGUUCCUGAGAGGGAGAGGGGCAGGAAGGGCAGCAUGGUGCAGGUGCAGCAGCAGAGCCAAUCCAAUGCUCCUGCCGCCAUGCUUGCACCAUGCUGAGCUCCUUGCAUCUUGCCUUUCCCCCUCUCAGGAACUGGCAGUGGCUCUCUGUGUUUGGAAG